GCCUGUCGCUUGGAGACGCAGUGACUCCAAACGGGCUCACACGGUUUUCUGAGAAACAUAAAGGGAAACCGAAUCCACCAAUAUAUAUAUAUAUUUUUUUGAGACGGCGUCUCGCUCUGUCACCCAGGCUGGAGUGCAGUGGCGUGAUCUCGGCUCACUGCAAACUCCGCCUCCCGGGUUGACGCCAUUCUUCUGCCUCAGCCUCCCGAGUAGCUGGGACUACAGGCGCCCGCCGCCACGCCCGGCUAAUUUUUUUGUAUUUUAGUAGAGACGGGGAGUCACCGUGUUGCCCAGGCUGGUCGCGAACUCCUGAGCUCAGGCAAUCCGCCCGCCUUGGCCUCCCAAAGUGCUAGGAUCACAGGCGUGAGCCACCGCGCCCGGCCCACCAAUACUCAAUUGGUUUGACUUCAGUUGAGGAAACCAGAAAAAAUUUAAAUAUAUUUAUGGAAAGAAGCUAUUGGGAGAGUGGCUGAGUACUGAGUCUAUCACUACUUGGAUGAUACAGCUUCUGUCUUCAAGAUAAGCAGAAUUGUUCAGAAUCCACUGGAAUCCAAAUUCAACUUGGGCCUCAAUUUCUGCAGAUGGACACCUCUGGACUCCAAAAAAUCCAAGGACAUAAAAAACUUAAGCAGCCUUUAUUACAUUUAGUUCAACAAGUUUAAAGUGUAGGUCACUUUCCACUUUUGUUUACUUGAUGCUUAAUUUUACUGGAAUCGUUAAAAGAAAUAUACUUGCAAUUUUUUUAAAAAAGGUAUCUAUUUCUGAGGCCAGUCUUGGUGUCUAGAGUUUUCAAGGUAGUGUUAAUGACAGCAUGUAGAACCUCAAAGCUCAUUUGUCGGUGAAAAUGCUGUGCUAAGCCUGGCAGAAGUCUGCUCCCACACUCAGAAUCACCAUAAAUGUGCAACAUCACCAGAAAGUGCUGGUGUGCUGGGGACUGGGCAUUGGAGUUGGGGAUGGCUGUCCCAGCCUCUGUACACGACACCUGGCCUGGUGGAUCCAGAGUUAGUCUUGCUGCCCAGCUGCCACUCCAGCCACUCCCUAGACACAAUUUUAAAUUGUCAGAUAUACCUUUAGUAAAGCUGAAAAAACAAUUCCAGAGGAAUUAAAAGAAGGAAAAUUUUCUAUUUAUUAAAUAGCAUAAAGAUACCAAAA
rnacentral:lncRNA from 1 species